GGACUACCCGGGUAUCUAAUCCUGUUUGCUCCCCACGCUUUCGCGUCUCAGCGUCAGUCACCGUCCAGAUGGCCGCCUUCGCCACCGGUGUUCUUCUCGAUAUCUACGAAUUUCACCUCUACACCGAGAGUUCCACCAUCCUCUCCGGGACUCUAGCGAGGCAGUAUCGAAUGCACUUCCUGGGUUGAGCCCAGGGCUUUCACAUCCGACUUGCCUUGCCGCCUACACGCGCUUUACGCCCAGUAAUUCCGAACAACGUUUGCACCCUCUGUCUUACCGCGGCGGCUGGCAC
rnacentral:rRNA from 1 species